rnacentral:lncRNA from 1 species
AGGACAAAUCAGGGUGGUGACCUUGGCCACAUCACUGUCAUAGAGCUUCUUCACAGCCUGUCUGAUCUGGUGCUUGUUGGCUUUAACAUCCACAGUGAACACAAGCGUGUUGUUUUCUUCUAUCUUCUUCACGGCCGACUCAGUGGUCAGCGGAAACUUGAUGAUAGCAUAGUGGCCAAGCUUGUUUCUCCUGGGGGUGCUCUUCCGAGGAUAUCUGGGCUGCCUCCGGAGUCGCAGUGUCUUGGGCCGCCUGAAGAUAUUAUUUCCCCCUGAUGCUUUCCUGAAAGCUCCUGCAAUCAACUACAGGUCAGAAUGUUCGUCUCCAAGACAGGACUCCCCCUGAGACUCACAGAAAAGACUAUGACAGGUACUCUGGUUAUAGGCUUCUGAUGAUAUUGCUUAAAUAACUUUAAGACCAUACACUUGACUCAGUUAAGGUCUCCAGAAGUCCGGUUGGGAAACUGAUGGGUUCAUGACACUGCUAACUCAAGAUCCACAAGACUGGAAUUGAUUACAUGGCACUGAAUGAACUGAUGAAAAUUGAUUAUAAUUGUAUAGCUUUUUGGAGCAUUGCUGGUUAAUAUUCUAGUUUCUGGAUUUAAGAAAUCUCUUUCUCUUACUCUAACUGUAACUUACAACAAUUUAGUAGAUUAUACUUUUGUAAACAGAAAUGAAGCGUUUAUCUUUUUUUCUUGCCUGAUUUUUCCAGAAUUUUGAAAUCCUUACUGAAUACUCUUAUUUCCACGAUGAUAUUGUUGUUAGCAAAAGUCCAAUAAGAAUCUAUUCAUCUUAUAACAGGACAUAAUUGGAAAUUUUGGUUAUAUUAUCAAGGUUUUUACUGGAAUAUCAUAUUUAGGGAGUGUACCUAAGAUCAGUUAUGACCAGCAAUU